UUUCAUUCGUUUUCCGGCUCUCGUUCAGGCAACAACUAAAAAUUAUUUUCGGGAAAAAAAAAUUAUGAAAAUUAUUUGAGUAAAAAAAUUUGUGUGUAAAAAUGUUUACGCGAGUUAAAAAAUUUUGUUUGUGAAAAGUAUCACAAGUGUAAAAAUUAUUAUUCGUAAAUCCUAAUUCCAAUGAUGGCUAAAAGUAUCUCCACACAAUUCAGCCCACACUCCAUACUCCAAACUACACAAUCCACACUUUAAGCUACCCAGUCCACACUCAUUGAACCGCAUUUCAAUCUACCAGACUCUUAUACACAAACUACACUUCGAUAAGCAUAUACAUAUGUAUAAGCAUACUUCUUAUACGCUAAUCUGCACACUUAUACUCUGAUCUGCACACUUAUCUACACUCUACGCCAAUCUGCGGAGUUAUUUACACUCUACGCCAAUCUGCGGAGUUAAUUA